GUGUGAGGGCGAUCUGGCUGCGACAUCUGUCAUCCCAUUGAUCACCAGGGUUGAUUCGGCUGAUCUGGCUGGCUAGGCAGGUGUCCCCUUUCUCCCUCAUUGCUCCAUGUGCGUCCCUCCCGAAGCUGCACGCUCGGUUGAAGAGGAUGACCUUCCCCCAUAGGAGGACCGUCCUUCGGUUGAGGGUAUGCGAGUAGCUGCGCUCCCCUGCUGGAACCUCCAAACAAGUCUCAAGGCCUCCGAGUGAGACUAGCCGAGUGUGUGACUGAGAGACUUUGUCCACAGCCAUCCCCUGCUACAGUCAUCCCUUUACUUACCUCGCACCAGAGUGGCAGAAAAAGAACAGGU
rnacentral:snRNA from 1 species